rnacentral:rRNA from 1 species
ACGCUGGCGGCGUGCCUAAUACAUGCAAGUAGAACGCUGAAGGAGGAGCUUGCUUCUCUGGAUGAGUUGCGAACGGGUGAGUAACGCGUAGGUAACCUGCCUGGUAGCGGGGGAUAACUAUUGGAAACGACAGCUAAUACCGCAUAACAGUAGAUGUUGCAUGACAUUUGCUUAAAAGGUGCAAUUGCAUCACUACCAGAUGGACCUGCGUUGUAUUAGCUAGUUGGUGGGGUAACGGCUCACCAAGGCGACGAUACAUAGCCGACCUGAGAGGGUGAUCGGCCACACUGGGACUGAGACACGGCCCAGACUCCUACGGGAGGCAGCAGUAGGGAAUCUUCGGCAAUGGACGGAAGUCUGACCGAGCAACGCCGCGUGAGUGAAGAAGGUUUUCGGAUCGUAAAGCUCUGUUGUAAGAGAAGAACAGGUGUGAGAGUGGAAAGUUCACACUGUGACGGUAUCUUACCAGAAAGGGACGGCUAACUACGUGCCAGCAGCCGCGGUAAUACGUAGGUCCCGAGCGUUGUCCGGAUUUAUUGGGCGUAAAGCGAGCGCAGGCGGUUAGAUAAGUCUGAAGUUAAAGGCUGUGGCUUAACCAUAGUACGCUUUGGAAACUGUUUAACUUGAGUGCAAGAGGGGAGAGUGGAAUUCCAUGUGUAGCGGUGAAAUGCGUAGAUAUAUGGAGGAACACCGGUGGCGAAAGCGGCUCUCUGGCUUGUAACUGACGCUGAGGCUCGAAAGCGUGGGGAGCAAACAGGAUUAGAUACCCCUGGUAGUCCACGCCGUAAACGAUGAGUGCUAGGUGUUAGACCCUUUCCGGGGUUUAGUGCCGCAGCUAACGCAUUAAGCACUCCGCCUGGGGAGUACGACCGCAAGGUUGAAACUCAAAGGAAUUGACG